GUUUACUCUUUUGGGAAAAUAAAAGACACUUCCUUUUGAUUUUGUUGAAGGAGUCGACAGAGGUCAACCGCUGUUGGGGUUGAUUUGAUCGGGGGCAGUCAUUUUAUUUUUAAAAUUUUUCGAUUUUCUUUCGGCUGUAGCUUUGCUGGCAUCUAUACGAUUACUUUCUAUGAAGUUGGUCAACGAAGGACCAGUUUGAUUACCUCGUCUGCUGGGAAGUUCUUCUCUACUCGGGAUUUGUCUGGAAAGAGCUUGUUCGAAGGCUAAUGGCAUUAGAGAAAAAUGGCAUCGUAAAGUUUGGUUUAGGAAUUCAGGUGAAAAUUUUGUUUUAUUGACAAACGCUAUGGCAAAAUGUGGCUACCAGUUGUACAGUCUUGGCUACUUAUAUUGAAAAGGCAAGGAAUGGAGGCAAAGGCAGUGGAGUGUCUUCUUCCUCAUGGGAAAGGAAGGGUUCAUCUCAAGGUAGUAGCCAUAGCUUAGCUCCAUCGACUCCAGGAAGGUCUCAACCAAGAUCAGUUGCUCGGGGCAAUGAAAGUCCUGAUCACAGUGCUGCUAUUCCAAAAUUUGGUGAGUGGGAUGAGAGCAACCCUGUGUCAGCUGUAGGUUACACUGAGAUUUUCAACAUAAUGCAACAAGAGAAGCAAGUUGAGGCUGGAAAGGUACCAGUUGUGGCAAGUGAAAACUCUCAUUCAAAUGGCUACAAGCAACCUGAUAAUAAAAAUUCCAAGAGCCGUUGCUGCUUUCCAUGGGCGAGCAAAUGAUAUUUAUUAUAUGUGGAGAGGAGUAGAAAGCGUUUGUGGUGUAAACUUGUAUUGCUUGGGUGACCUUUUAGUAUAGAGUAGUGUUUUAUUAAGUGCAUUCUUUCACUUGUUACUGAAAGUUACCUGGAAAAAAAAGAAGAAGAAGAAGAAGAAGAAGAGAAAUUCAAGCGAAAGAGAAGUGUUAUUCACCAUCCUUUUAAUCAUUAAUUUUUCAUCACCCCCUAAUGUUACAUUAAACUGUUUGUUAUCUUCUACUUAAAUGCCAAUCAUUUGAUGCCACAUUGGGGGAUGACAAAAGGAUAUUGGUUAAAAGGAUGAUGAAUUCAUUUUUUUGACGCGAUAACUUCGCAUUGCCCAGGAA